rnacentral:rRNA from 1 species
GGGGGAAUUUUGGACAAUGGGGGAAACCCUGAUCCAGCCAUCCCGCGUGUGCGAUGAAGGCCUUCGGGUUGUAAAGCACUUUUGGCAGGAAAGAAACGUCAUGGGUUAAUACCCCGUGAAACUGACGGUACCUGCAGAAUAAGCACCGGCUAACUACGUGCCAGCAGCCGCGGUAAUACGUAGGGUGCAAGCGUUAAUCGGAAUUACUGGGCGUAAAGCGUGCGCAGGCGGUUCGGAAAGAAAGAUGUGAAAUCCCAGAGCUCAACUUUGGAACUGCAUUUUUAACUACCGGGCUAGAGUGUGUCAGAGGGAGGGGGAAUUCCGCGUGUAGCAGUGAAAUGCGUAGAUAUGCGGAGGAACACCGAUGGCGAAGGCAGCCUCCUGGGAUAACACUGACGCUCAUGCACGAAAGCGUGGGGAGCAAACAGG